rnacentral:rRNA from 1 species
CCUACGGGAGGCAGCAGUGGGGAAUAUUGGACAAUGGGGGAAACCCUGAUCCAGCGACGCCGCGUGAGUGAAGAAGUAUUUCGGUACGUAAAGCUCUAUCAGCAGGAAAGAAAAUGCCGGUCCCUGACUAAGAAGCCCCGGCUAACUACGUGCCAGCAGCCGCGGUAAUACGUAGGGGGCAAGCGUUAUCCGGAUUUACUGGGUGGAAAGGGAGCGUAGACGGCAGCGCAAGUCUGGAGUGAAAUGCCGGGGCCCAACCCCGGAACUGCUCUGGAAACUGUGAAGCUGGAGUGCAGGAGAGGUAAGCGGAAUUCCUGGUGUAGCGGUGAAAUGCGUAGAUAUCAGGAGGAACACCGGCGGCGAAGGCGGCUUACUGGACUGUAACUGACGUUGAGGCUCGAAGGCGUGGGGAGCAAACAGGAUUAGAUACCCUUGUAGUC